rnacentral:rRNA from 1 species
UACGGAGGGUGCAAGCAUUAAUCGGAAUUAUUGGGCGUAAAGGGCGCGUAGGCGGGAGGAUAAGUCAGAUGUGAAAUUCCGAAGCUCAACUUCGGAGCUGCAUUUGAGACUAUUUUUCUAGAGGGAUGGCGGAGAAAAUGGAAUUCCACGUGUAGCGGUGAAAUGCGUAGAUAUGUGGAAGAACACCUGUGGCGAAAGCGGCUCACUGGACCACAACUGACGCUGAUGCACGAAAGCUAGGGGAGCAAACAGG